UACGAGAGGCCCAAACGUUAUUCGGAAUUACUGGGCGUAAAGUGUGCGCAGGCGGCCGAGCAAGUCGAGUGUGAAAGCCCCGAGCUUAACUUGGGAACUGCGCUCGAAACUACUUGGCUAGAGUGUGGCAGAGGGAGGUGGAAUUCCACGUGUAGCGGUGAAAUGCGUAGAGAUGUGGAGGAACACCGAUGGCGAAGGCAGCCUCCUGGGCCAACACUGACGCUCAUGCACGAAAGCGUGGGGAGCAAACAGG
rnacentral:rRNA from 1 species